AUGAAUUUCCCUCCUCAAUCUCAAUUGAAAAUAUCAAAAAUCCCUCUCAUUCUAAAAAACAUAACUCAAGAUAUAUUCCUUUUUCUUUCUCAAAAGUUAAUUGAAAACUCUCUUUCUUUCAAUCGUAAAAUUCCUAUUUUCUUUCUCAAAAGUGGAUUGAAAAUCCAUUUAUCCUCAUGCGUAAAUCUAGAUAAAUUUAAUUUGGGGGUGAUUUUGUAGCUCAUUUCUCAAUCAAUUGAAACCCCAUUUCUCCUCAAUUGUAAAUCCAGAAAAUUUUUAUUUUGGGAGUGAUUUUGUAGCUCCAUUUGCCUGGGUAGUAGUUCCAAUUGACUGAAAAUGGAGUAAACGAGAUGGAUCGAAAACCCAUUGCCUAGAAAUAGAAAUGCUAUAAGUAUCUUCAAUUGAAAACCUAUUUCUCUUCAAUCUAUUAGGCUUGCUGUAAUUUCCAUUGUUGUUGUUUGGUUGCAGUGACAGUGGAUUGAAACUCAACACUUAGCUUGUUGUUGAUCGGUGGAAAGGAGACGGAAAAAUCAACGGCUAUUGGAGCUUCGACGAGUUAGCUUUCAGCAUUUUUUAGCAUUGUUGUUUCAGAAUUUUGGGAUUCUAAGGUGGGCUGGGGUUGGUGAAGCAAGAGGAGAUUAUCCAUUUAGCCAUCACAAGUUAACAGUUCAGUUUUAUGAAGCAUCUGCUGCUCAGGACCGAAAACUGGAAGGACUGGUGCACAAGGCCAUUUUAGAGCUUUGGAGGCCUGAUCCUAGUGAGUUAGCUUUAUUGCUGGCUAAACGAGUAGACUCCUCUUUAUUCAAGGUUCUUCCUAGUGCAUAUACUUUGACUGGAAGCAGUGAUCCUUGAUACGUCGAAGCAUAUCAUUUGACUGAUCCAAGUGAUGGGAGAAUUACUCUGCACUUAAAGGCACUGAAUUUGAUAGAAGACCAGAAUCUUGAGAUACUAACUGAUUCUUGCUUGGAAGGUCAAGAAAUCAUUAGAAAGUUAAAGAACUUUGUUUCAGUUGGAUCACUUGCAGCUUUAUGGAAAAAAUAGAUGCUAGAAUGCAAGAAGAAGAAUACAGGCUACAUAGAAUUUCUUGAAGCUUAUCGCGACUAGAAAUUGAUACUAUGUAAAAACUUAACUAAUCAUUUGAGUGCUUAACAUACAUUUUGCUUUUGGAUUAAGAUUACCAGUUUAAUUUGUUCCAUAUUUUGAAUUAUUUGAUUAUUAAUGAAUGAUGUUUUAUGAUGUGUGUA